GCCAUCCUAUUCAUUUGCUUUGGUGGCCUUUGACUCAACCACUGUGUUCCCUAUUGGAUCCUAAUAUCACCAAGAUCUAAAGAGUGGUGCAAUCAGUGUGCCUCACCUUCUUACCCUUAUGCUAUUUUCUAUAGUUUCCUGUGGUCUCUGGAACCAUGGAGAAUGAUUUGGUGUUGGAGAGCGUGUCUGACUGUGGAACCGAUGAUGAAUAGUCAUCAGAUAGGGAACUGCACUUAGGAUUGGUUGAUGAU